GCCUGGGUGGCUCAGUCGGUUAAGCGUCUGACUUCAGCUCAGGUCAUGAUCUCACGGCUCGUGGGUUCGAGCCCCAUGUUGGGCU
rnacentral:tRNA from 1 species